rnacentral:rRNA from 1 species
UAGCCGUAAACGAUACUCGCUAGGUGUCGGCCACGGUGCGACCGUUGUCGGUGCCGUAGGGAAGCCGUGAAGCGAGCCACCUGGGAAGUACGGCCGCAAGGCUGAAACUUAAAGGAAUUGGCGGGGGAGCACCACAACGGGUGGAGCUUGCGGUUUAAUUGGAUUCAACGCCGGACAACUCACCAGGAGCGACGGUUACAUGAAGGCCAGGCUGAUGACCUUGCCGGAUUAGCUGAGAGGUGGUGCAUGGCGUAGUCGUGU